AGCUAUAAGUUCAGCCGUACAGGUCACGUUAGGUUACUUCAGCUAGCAUAUCAUUUUACAUUGAUUUAUUCCACCUGGCUUACUUAUUUCAUUGUUGAGAUACUUGACAUGGCAUAUACUUGGUUUUCAUUACUCUCGAGCUUGAUUUCUAUAAAUACAUAUGUAUUACUAUUUUCUGGGAAAUUAUACAGGUUUUACGAUGAGGGUUAUUACUUUUAGAAAGAGAAAUGGUUUUGAAAAGCUUUGUUUUUGCCCACUCACGUUUUCUGUUUUGCGCCCCUCCAAGUUCUAGGUAGAAGUUCGAGUACCUUACGAGGAUUCUACGGUGGUUUUAACAGACUUCAAAUAAUGUAGGGCCUUUAUUUCUUUCAUAUUUUGUAUAAUUAAUAUUUAGCAUGUUGGAUUGCACUUAGGUUACCUGUGCUCUGAGUAUGUGAAAUUAUACUUUACCUACACUCAUACUUAUAUACUUACCUAGUGUAAAGUAGCUAUUUGGUUUUUUUAUUUACCCAGAUUUUCAUGUCGCUAUCACUUUCGCACUGCACACAUGGCUACGUCAUCCUCACGUAACGGCCAGCAUGCCUCGAUUUAGGUCGGGGUGUGUCAUAUUUUUAUGAGGCUCACUUCGUAAUGUAUUUCAACAACUGAAACUGUCUAUCUUUCAAGGCUUUCCUCAAAGAUCAUGUCUAUUAAAAAUCACCUAGUCAUCAUCUUAUGGAAGGAUUUAGGUCGUCAUAUUUUUAUGAGGCUCACUUCGUAAUGUAUUUCAACAACUGAAACUGUCUAUCUUUCAAGGCUUUCCUCAAAGAUCAUGUCUAUUAAAAAUCACCUAGAUCCCUAAAACCAUAUGACUAUUGGAUUAAGGAUUCGCCGCCAUUUUUUGUGAUGUUUACUUUACAAAGAUAUAUGAUAUUCUGUAGUUACUUGUAUAUAGUUGGUAUAGAUCCUUAUCUGGAUAAUCUAACAUGUGGUGUCAUAGCGACCAAUUAAAUACUGAACUUAAUUAUUUAAUCAAAGUAAAUUUUAAGGUCUAAAAUGUUUGAAUUAUUAUAUCUAAUUGAAUUAUGAAAAGUUCACUGUUUUGCUCAAGAUUAUCAUUUUUUUUUUUUGCUAAAUGAUAGAUUU
rnacentral:lncRNA from 1 species